rnacentral:rRNA from 1 species
GAUGAACGCUGGCGGCGUGCCUAAUACAUGCAAGUCGAGCGAACAGAUAAGGAGCUUGCUCCUUUGACGUUAGCGGCGGACGGGUGAGUAACACGUGGGUAACCUACCUAUAAGACUGGAAUAACUCCGGGAAACCGGGGCUAAUGCCGGAUAACAUUUAGAACCGCAUGGUUCUAAAGUGAAAGAUGGUUUUGCUAUCACUUAUAGAUGGACCCGCGCCGUAUUAGCUAGUUGGUAAGGUAACGGCUUACCAAGGCAACGAUACGUAGCCGACCUGAAAGGGUGAUCGGCCACACUGGAACUGAGACACGGUCCAGACUCCUACGGGAGGCAGCAGUAGGGAAUCUUCCGCAAUGGGCGAAAGCCUGACGGAGCAACGCCGCGUGAGUGAUGAAGGUCUUCGGAUCGUAAAACUCUGUUAUUAGGGAAGAACAAAUGUGUAAGUAACUGUGCACGUCUUGACGGUACCUAAUCAGAAAGCCACGGCUAACUACGUG